AACGAACGCUGGCGGCAGGCUUAACACAUGCAAGUCGAACGGUUGUAGCAAUACAGCAGUGGCGCACGGGUGAGUAACGCGUGGAUAUCUGCCUUUUGGUUCGGAAUAACUCCGGGAAACUGGAGCUAAUACCGGAUGGUUCCUACGGGAUAAAGAUUUAUCGCCAAAAGAUGAGUCCGCGUACGAUUAGCUAGUUGGCGGGGUCAUGGCCCACCAAGGCGACGAUCGUUAGCUGGUCUGAGAGGACGAUAAGCCACACUGGGACUGAGACACGGCCCAGACUCCUACGGGAGGCAGCAGUGGGGAAUAUUGGACAAUGGGGGCAACCCUGAUCCAGCCAUGCCGCGUGAGUGAUGAAGGCCUUCGGGUUGUAAAGCUCUUUUGGCGGGGACGAUGAUGACGGUACCCGCAGAAUAAGCCCCGGCUAACUUCGUGCCAGCCGCCGCCGUAAGAC
rnacentral:rRNA from 1 species